rnacentral:rRNA from 1 species
GGUUAAGCGACUAAGCGUACACGGUGGAUGCCCUGGCAGUCAGAGGCGAUGAAGGACGUGCUAAUCUGCGAUAAGCGUCGGUGAGGUGAUAUGAACCGUUAUAACCGGCGAUUUCCGAAUGGGGAAACCCAGUGUGUUUCGACACACUAUCAUUAACUGAAUCCAUAGGUUAAUGAGGCGAACCGGGGGAACUGAAACAUCUAAGUACCCCGAGGAAAAGAAAUCAACCGAGAUUCCCCCAGUAGCGGCGAGCGAACGGGGAGGAGCCCAGAGCCUGAAUCAGUGUGUGUGUUAGUGGAAGCGUCUGGAAAGGCGCGCGAUACAGGGUGACAGCCCCGUACACAAAAAUGCACAUAUUGUGAGCUCGAUGAGUAGGGCGGGACACGUGGUAUCCUGUCUGAAUAUGGGGGGACCAUCCUCCAAGGCUAAAUACUCCUGACUGACCGAUAGUGAACCAGUACCGUGAGGGAAAGGCGAAAAGAACCCCGGCGAGGGGAGUGAAAAAGAACCUGAAACCGUGUACGUACAAGCAGUGGGAGCCUCUUAAUGGGGUGACUGCGUACCUUUUGUAUAAUGGGUCAGCGACUUAUAUUCUGUAGCAAGGUUAACCGAAUAGGGGAGCCGAAGGGAAACCGAGUCUUAACUGGGCGUUAAGUUGCAGGGUAUAGACCCGAAACCCGGUGAUCUAGCCAUGGGCAGGUUGAAGGUUGGGUAACACUAACUGGAGGACCGAACCGACUAAUGUUGAAAAAUUAGCGGAUGACUUGUGGCUGGGGGUGAAAGGCCAAUCAAACCGGGAGAUAGCUGGUUCUCCCCGAAAGCUAUUUAGGUAGCGCCUCGUGAAUUCAUCUCCGGGGGUAGAGCACUGUUUCGGCAAGGGGGUCAUCCCGACUUACCAACCCGAUGCAAACUGCGAAUACCGG